rnacentral:rRNA from 1 species
UACCAGCUCUCCGAGUGGUAGGGAUGAUUAUUGGGCUUAAAGCGUCCGUAGCCGGCUUAGCAAGUCUCCUGUUAAAUUCAGCGACCUAAUCGUUGAGCCGCGGGAGACACUACUAGGCUAGGAGGCGGGAGAGGCCGACGGUAUUCUCGGGGUAGGGGUGAAAUCCUAUAAUCCCGGGGAGGACCACCAGUGGCGAAGGCUGUCGGCUAGAACGCGCUCGACGGUGAGGGACGAAAGCUGGGGGGAGCGAACCGGAUUAGAUACCCGGGUAGUCCCAGCUGUAAACGAUGCGGGCUAGGUGUUGGGGUGGCUACGAGCCACUUCAGUGCCGCAGGGAAGCCAUUAAGCCCGCCGCCUGGGGAGUACGGCCGCAAGGCUGAAACUUAAAGGAAUUGGCGGGGGAGCACCACAAGGCGUGAAGCUUGCGGUUC